rnacentral:lncRNA from 1 species
CCUGGAAGACACACCAGGCUGAUCUCAUAGUUCUUCUGGUGAUUUUUAGUAUUAAAAUAUUCACUAAAGUCUAAUACAAUUGUUUAUUCAAGUUAAAACUUCUUCCCUAUUCCAGUUUGUACUUGACCUCAUCUGUAAGCCUACUGUUGAGCAGAAAAACAUGUACCAGUUACCAAUGCCAGGUGAAGAUUCCAACUAUCUGGAGGAUAGACAAGGUCAUCAUAAUGCCAGCCACCUGUAAUAGAAAUCCAAACACUUAUGCCCACUGUAUCUUAGUAUUGGAGUCGCC